rnacentral:rRNA from 1 species
AUGAACGCUAGCUACAGGCUUAACACAUGCAAGUCGAGGGGCAGCAUGGUCUUAGCUUGCUAAGGCCGAUGGCGACCGGCGCACGGGUGAGUAACACGUAUCCAACCUGCCGUCUACUCUUGGACAGCCUUCUGAAAGGAAGAUUAAUACAAGAUGGCAUCAUGAGUCCGCAUGUUCACAUGAUUAAAGGUAUUCCGGUAGACGAUGGGGAUGCGUUCCAUUAGAUAGUAGGCGGGGUAACGGCCCACCUAGUCUUCGAUGGAUAGGGGUUCUGAGAGGAAGGUCCCCCACAUUGGAACUGAGACACGGUCCAAACUCCUACGGGAGGCAGCAGUGAGGAAUAUUGGUCAAUGGGCGAGAGCCUGAACCAGCCAAGUAGCGUGAAGGAUGACUGCCCUAUGGGUUGUAAACUUCUUUUAUAAAGGAAUAAAGUCGGGUAUGGAUACCCGUUUGCAUGUACUUUAUGAAUAAGGAUCGGCUAACUCCGUGCCAGCAGCCGCGGUAAUACGGAGGAUCCGAGCGUUAUCCGGAUUUAUUGGGUUUAAAGGGAGCGUAGAUGGAUGUUUAAGUCAGUUGUGAAAGUUUGCGGCUCAACCGUAAAAUUGCAGUUGAUACUGGAUAUCUUGAGUGCAGUUGAGGCAGGCGGAAUUCGUGGUGUAGCGGUGAAAUGCUUAGAUAUCACGAAGAACUCCGAUUGCGAAGGCAGCCUGCUAAGCUGCAACUGACAUUGAGGCUCGAAAGUGUGGGUAUCAAACAGGAUUGGAUACCCUGGUAGUCCACACGGUAAACGAUGAAUACUCGCUGUUUGCGAUAUACAGCAAGCGGCCAAGCGAAAGCGUUAAGUAUUCCACCUGGGGAGUACGCCGGCAACGGUGAAACUCAAAGGAAUUGACGGGGGCCCGCACAAGCGGAGGAACAUGUGGUUUAAUUCGAUGAUACGCGAGGAACCUUACCCGGGCUUAAAUUGCAGAUGAAUUACGGUGAAAGCCGUAAGCCGCAAGGCAUCUGUGAAGGUGCUGCAUGGUUGUCGUCAGCUCGUGCCGUGAGGUGUCGGCUUAAGUGCCAUAACGAGCGCAACCCUUGUUGUCAGUUACUAACAGGUUCCGCUGAGGACUCUGACAAGACUGCCAUCGUAAGAUGUGAGGAAGGUGGGGAUGACGUCAAAUCAGCACGGCCCUUACGUCCGGGGCUACACACGUGUUACAAUGGGGGGUACAGAGGGCCGCUACCACGCGAGUGGAUGCCAAUCCCAAAAACCUCUCUCAGUUCGGACUGGAGUCUGCAACCCGACUCCACGAAGCUGGAUUCGCUAGUAAUCGCGCAUCAGCCACGGCGCGGUGAAUACGUUCCCGGGCCUUGUACACACCGCCCGUCAAGCCAUGGGAGCCGGGGGUACCUGAAGUGCGUAACCGCGAGGAGCGCCCUAGGGUAAAACUGGUGACUGGGGCU